rnacentral:lncRNA from 1 species
UUUGAUAAUUUUUGGGAAAGUGAAUAUUUUUCAUCUCAGAUUUGCAAGAUCCCUCAACGCCACCGUAUACACUCUACAUACCCGGUGAAGUACAAUGGAGGAGAAAACCACUUUCGAAAGCUACGGCAUUAAGGAAAGGGGAAGCUUCUCAGAUUUUAAAAUAUACAGUCCCAAGGAAGAUGGAACAAGAGAGGCGGCGAGGUGGAUUAACGCUUGCAGAUUCAAGUUCCCAAAACCGUAUUGCAGUAGAGAAUUUCAAUCAUGUAAGGUGCGGUUGUUCUGUUAUUGUUUCUUAAUCUGAAGUAAUUCUUUGUUGGAGUCAGUAUGUGGAAACGAUGUGACCCGAAAGUUUGAAGCUUUGUGUUUAGACUCCACUCCAUUGUACAUUCUAUUCCAUUUUCAAAGUAUUUGUUACCUGAAUACAAAUAGAAUAGUUUUGAAAAAUCUGAAUCUGAAGUAUUUUUUUGUUUCCUUCAUUUUAUGAUAUUUUCAAGUCAUAUAUGGUACGAGAGUAACAUGGAAUAAAUGUGAACAGUCUGCUUGUUCGUAUUGUUGUUGCUUUGUGUAUGAUCCAGUAAGCUGAAUAGAAUACCAACCAACAAAAUUAAAUAGAAUAGUUUGUUGGUUUCCAUUCUCAUUUUUGUUCACAUUAUUGUCGUUUGUCUAUACAUACCGUUACAUCUUUUAUGCUUUCCAUUCUACAUUUUUGUUAUACUAUACAUUUUAUUUCACAUUUACUUUGUUAUAUGGAUCCUAACAAUUGCUUUGUGUUGCUCAGGUUACAAAUGGAUGAUUUAGACUGUCCAGUAGAUUGUUCGAAACUGGAUUCGAACCAUUUCGUGAAUAUAUUCUCAUUUAUAUGUAAUGGUGCAAUGUAUAUAUAAAUGGAAUAGACCAUGUGUACGUAAAAUAGAAAGAUUAUACAUGUGAAAUGGAAUGUAUGAUAUUUGCUAUUUGUUUUAUUCUAUUCUAUUUGCAGAACAUACAAUAAAAAUAUGCUUUUACAGUGCAUUCGCA